rnacentral:tRNA from 2 species
GGUUCAUUGGUGUAAUGGCAGCAUCGCAGGUUCUCAACCUGUUGGCAGGGGAUCGUAACCCCUAUGAACUAC